ACGGCAGCACGGGAGCAAUCCUGGUGGCGAGUGGCGAACGGGUGAGUAAAGUAUCGGAACGUGCCCAGUCGUGGGGGAUAACGCAGCGAAAGUUGUGCUAAUACCGCAUACGAUCUAUGGAUGAAAGCGGGGGAUCGCAAGACCUCGCGCGAUUGGAGCGGCCGAUAUCAGAUUAGGUAGUUGGUGGGGUAAAGGCUCACCAAGCCGACGAUCUGUAGCUGGUCUGAGAGGACGACCAGCCACACUGGAACUGAGACACGGUCCAGACUCCUACGGGAGGCAGCAGUGGGGAAUUUUGGACAAUGGGCGCAAGCCUGAUCCAGCAAUGCCGCGUGCAGGAUGAAGGCCUUCGGGUUGUAAACUGCUUUUGUACGGAACGAAAAGGCUCUGGUUAAUACCUGGGGCACAUGACGGUACCGUAAGAAUAAGCACCGGCUAACUACGUGCCAGCAGCCGCGGUAAUACGUAGGGUGCGAGCGUUAAUCGGAAUUACUGGGCGUAAAGCGUGCGCAGGCGGUAAUGCAAGACAGAUGUGAAAUCCCCGGGCUUAACCUGGGAACUGCAUUUGUGACUGCAUUGCUGGAGUGCGGCAGAGGGGGAUGGAAUUCCGCGUGUAGCAGUGAAAUGCGUAGAUAUGCGGAGGAACACCGAUGGCGAAGGCAAUCCCCCUGGGCCUGCACUGACGCUCAUGCACGAA
rnacentral:rRNA from 1 species